GGUUCAAUUCCCGUCGUUCGCCGCGGAUGUAGCCAAGUGGAUCAAGGCAGUGGAUUGUGAAUCCACCAUGCGCG
rnacentral:tRNA from 1 species